CCUACGUGGUGCAGCAGUGGGGAAUAUUGGACAAUGGGCGAAAGCCUGAUCCAGCCAUGCCGCGUGUGUGAAGAAGGCCUUCGGGUUGUAAAGCACUUUCAGUGGGGAAGAAAGCCUUGGGGCUAAUACCCUCGAGGAAGGACAUCACCCACAGAAGAAGCACCGGCUAACUCCGUGCCAGCAGCCGCGGUAAUACGGAGGGUGCGAGCGUUAAUCGGAAUUACUGGGCGUAAAGCGCGCGUAGGCGGUCUGAUAAGCCGGUUGUGAAAGCCCCGGGCUCAACCUGGGAACGGCAUCCGGAACUGUCAGGCUAGAGUGCAGGAGAGGAAGGUAGAAUUCCCGGUGUAGCGGUGAAAUGCGUAGAGAUCGGGAGGAAUACCAGUGGCGAAGGCGGCCUUCUGGACUGACACUGACGCUGAGGUGCGAAAGCGUGGGUAGCAAACAGGAUUAGAUACCCUUGUAGUC
rnacentral:rRNA from 1 species